CUACGUAGGGUGCGAGCGUUGUCCGGAAUUACUGGGCGUAAAGAGCUCGUAGGUGGUUUGUCGCGUCGUCUGUGAAAUUCCGGGGCUUAACUCCGGGCGUGCAGGCGAUACGGGCAUAACUUGAGUACUGUAGGGGAGACUGGAAUUCCUGGUGUAGCGGUGAAAUGCGCAGAUAUCAGGAGGAACACCGGUGGCGAAGGCGGGUCUCUGGGCAGUAACUGACGCUGAGGAGCGAAAGCAUAAGUAGCGAACAGGAUUAGAUACCCUGGUAGUCCAUGCCGUAAACGGUGGGCGCUAGGUGUAGGGGUCUUCCACGACUUCUGUGCCGUAGCUAACGCAUUAAGCGCCCCGCCUGGGGAGUACGGCCGCAAGGCUAAAACUCAAAUGAAUUGACGGGG
rnacentral:rRNA from 1 species